AUUGAACGCUGGCGGCAGGCCUAACACAUGCAAGUCGAGCGGAUGACGGGAGCUUGCUCCUUGAUUCAGCGGCGGACGGGUGAGUAAUGCCUAGGAAUCUGCCUGGUAGUGGGGGACAACGUUUCGAAAGGAACGCUAAUACCGCAUACGUCCUACGGGAGAAAGCAGGGGACCUUCGGGCCUUGCGCUAUCAGAUGAGCCUAGGUCGGAUUAGCUAAUAGGUGAGGUAAUGGCUCACCUAGGCGACGAUCCGUAACUGGUCUGAGAGGAUGAUCAGUCACAGUGGAACUGGGACACGGUCCAGACUCCUACGGGAGGCAGCAGUGGGGAAUAUUGGACAAUGGGCGAAAGCCUGAUCCAGCCAUGCCGCGUGUGUGAAGAAGGUCUUCGGAUUGUAAAGCACUUUAAGUUGGGAGGAAGGGCAGUAAGCGAAUACCUUGCUGUUUUGACGUUACCGACAGAAUAAGCACCGGCUAACUCUGUGCCAGCCGCCGCGGUAACAC
rnacentral:rRNA from 1 species